GGAAGGAGGAAAAGGAGGAAGAGAGGGGGAAGGAAGGAAAGGGAGAAUUAAGGGAGGGAAGGAAGGAAGGGAGCAGAAGGGAGAGGAAAAGGAGGAAGGAAGGGAGAGGAGAGGGGGAAGGAAGGAAGGAAGGAAAGGGGGGAAGGAAGGAAGGGAGAGGAGAGAGAGAGAAGGAAGGAAAAGGAAGAGGAGAGAGGGAAGGAAGGAAAGAAGGAAAGGAGAGAGGACAGGGAGGAAGGAAGGAAAGGGAGAGGGCAGGAAGGAAGGAAAGGGAGAGGACAGGAAGGAAGGAAGGAAGGGAGAUGACAGAGGAAAGGAAGGAAAAGGGGAAGGGAGGAAGGAAAGAAGGGAGACAGGAGGAAGGAAGGAAAGAGGGCAGGAAAGGGAGAGGGCAGGAAGGGAGGAAGGGAGGAAGGGAGGAAAGGGUUAGAAAGAAAAAGGGAGACAGGCGACUUGACAUAUGGUACAAAUAUAUAUUAGUUCCAUUUUUAUGUUUUUUUUAUCUUCUACAAUUUAACACACACACACACACACACACACACACACACACACACACACACACACAUACACACACACACACACACGCUAUACUUUUCUAUUCCUUUUCUUUCUUCCUUUAUUUUAAUUUCUUCCUUUUACUUUAUUUUUGUUGUUGUUGUUUUCAUAGAGGCAGACUUUUUUUUUCCUUCUUCUUCUUCCUCUUUCGCCUUUUUUUCUCAUUUUGUGUCAUUUCUAUCUCCUCUAUUUUCUUUUAUUUUAUCUUUUCAUUUGUCUUCAUUCAUUUCUCCUUCGUUUUAUCUCCCUUUUCUUCCUUUUAUUUUCUUCUUCCUAUUUCCUGUAACUUGAUUCAUUCUUCCUCAUUUUACAUAUUUCCUCUCUUUCUCUCAUUCCUUUUAAUUCCCUUCUUUAUUCUCUGCUUCGUAAUUUUGUCGUCUAUCUCAUAUUUACAAUCUUUAUUCUUUUUAAUUUUGUCUUCCCUUAAAUUUCUUCUUCACUUCCCAUCUAGUUAAUUUUUGUCCUCUUUUCCUUCUUUUUCUCUUACUUGUUUUUGUUUUCUUUCAUUCUUUUCCCUCAUAUUUUUCUUCACUUCAAAAUUAUCUUCCAUUAUCUUCCGUUCCAUUCUUAUAUUCUUCUUCACUUCAAAAUUAUCUUCCAUUAUCCUCCGUUCCAUUCUUCCAUCCCUUUCACCGUCUGUGUUUCCUGCUUCACAACUCUUACGGCUUAAUUCCUACCUGUUUCUAUUUCCAUCUUUCAUUCUUGCGUUUCUUCACUUAAUAUCUCUUAUCAGCUUAACUCUUACAUAUAUUUCUUUUUCCUCUCAUUCUUUCACUUCUCCUAAACUACAUCUCUCUAAUACAGCUUGAAUCUUACAUAUCUUUAUUCCAGUCUUUCACUCUUUCAUCUCUCUACAACCAAUCUCUUACAACUCAAUUCUUACAUUCUUCUAUUCUUCUCCCAUUCUUCCACUUCUCCUAAGCUACAUCUCUCUAAUACAGCUUGAAUCUUACAUAUCUCUAUUCCUAUCUUUCACUCUUUCAUCUCUCUACAACCAAUCUCUUACAACUCAAUUCUUACAUUCUUCUAUUCUUCUCCCAUUCUUCCACUUCUCCUAAGCUACAUCUCUCUAAUACAGCUUGAAUCUUACAUAUCUCUAUUCAAAUCUUUCACUCUUUCAUCUCUCUACUACCAAUCUCUUACAACUCAAUUCUUACAUUUAUCCUUCUCUCAUACACUUUAAUCAACUCCUUCAUCUCCCUUCAUCAUCAACUUCUUCAUCCUCUUGGCUUAACGUUUACGCCUCGCUACGUACACACACAAGGUUCUCCCCCCUACGCCUUACACUUAGGUAUGUAAUAGGUAGCGUUAAUCCAACUUGAAAGCAUUGCGUCGGAUAGGAAGCUCGGAAAUGACACUACGAUAGCUUGGCGGAGGAGCAGGUCUGGCGUUUAUAAAAAUUUGGCAAACGCACAUGAUAGUAGAAGCAAUAGUAGUAGUAGUAGUAGUAGUAGUAGUAGUAUGGGAACUCUUUAGCUAAUACUACAUCCAGCUUGAAAAAAUAUAGGGAAUUGUAUCUCGUUCUCUCUCUCUCUCUCUCUCUCUCUCGGAUAAGAAAAUAAACACUCACUUUUUCUAGAGAGGAUUGAGGUGUGUGUGUGUGUGUGUGUGUGUGUGUGUGUGUGUGUGUGUAGGAUUCUCAACAGUAACCAGGAACAAUAACUAGGAUUCUUCAUCUCCUACAUAUCCUACACUCCCUGCAGUAGGAUAUCUAGGAUCUAAGUAAGCCAUAGGGCACUGAGGAUUUAGAUGCAGCAAAAUUUCCCCCAAGAACUGAUAUCCUAUGCUUCUUAUAUGUCCUAAACUCCUUAUUUUAGGAUACAGAAAGGAUCUAAGGACAUAGGUGCUGUAAAUUCUCCAUGAACUGAUAUCCUACAUUCUCUCAAAGGAUGCACAAAGGAUCUAAAGGAUAUUGGGUGUUGGAAAGGAUCUAACUCCACAUAAUAGGAUCUAGAAAGGUGUUGCAAAGGUUCCAACUCCACAUAAAAGGAUCUAGAAAGGAUAUUAGGUGUUUGCAAAGGUUCUAACUCCACAUAAAAGGAUUUGGAGAGGAUAUUGAGUGUUUGGAAAGGUUCUAACUCCACAUAAAAGGAUCUGGAGAGGAUAUUGAGUGUUGCAAAGGUUCUAACUCCACAUAAAAGGAUUUGGAGAGGAUAUUGAGUGUUGCAAAGGUUCUAACUCCACAUAAAAGGAUUUGGAGAGGAUGUUGAGUGUUGCAAAGAUUCUAACUCCACAUAAAAGGAUUUGGAGAGGAUAUUGAGUGUCGCAAAGGUUCUAACUCCACAUAAAAGCAUACCAACACUUGAAUCCUAAUGUGAGACUAAAGAAGGAGGUUUGAAUGCUCUUCGUCUUCAAGUACAGGGGACAAGGGAAUCAAAUGCUCUUUUAAACUGAGAUGGUUAUACUCUUGUUGUCGUUUUGAUACAUUUCAUUUUGGGCUUAAAUCUUAGACGUUACAAGUUCACAAAAAUAUACAUCUACGAAUUUUUAUGGAGGAGGAAGAAGAAGAGGAGGAGGAAGGAAGGGAAAGGAAGGAAGAGGAGGAGGAGGAAGGAAAAGGAAGGGAAAAGGAAGGGAAGGGAAGGGAAACAGAAGGAGGAGGAGGAAGGAUGGUGAAGGAAAAGGAAGGGAAGGAAAGGAAGGAGGAGGAGGAGGAGGAGAAAAAGAUAGGAUAAUGAAGGAAAAGGAAGAGAAAAGGAAGGGAAAGGAGGAAAGGAAAGGGAAAAUGAAGGAAAAGGAAGGGAAAGGAGGAAAACAGACCAAGCUAAAUUUAAUAACAAUGUGACACUAUCCAUUUUUUUUUUGGAAACAAUGAACUCAAAACAACACACACACACACACACACACACACACACACACACACACACACACACACACACACACACACACAAACUCACACAAUGCAAAAUUCUAAUAACAUAACUUCCACAGGCAAAAAAAAAACAAAAAACAAAAAAAAACAUAAGUAUACCAGCAUCUUGUAUAGCAACAGAGUGAGUGAGUGGAUGGAAGCUGACAGUCUCCCGAAAUCAGGUCAGUUUAUAAUGGCGUAAAUAAUUAUGUUGGAUAAGUAAUUAAGGUGUUGUCAGGAGGGAGCGGAGAGUAGAUAGGCCUUCUCUCUUGAUUGAAUACAGCGGAAAGGGGGUUGACAGACUGGUAGAUAGGACAGACGUGUGUGUGUUUGUGAGUACGUGUGUGACAGCGUAAAUAUAGACCAAUCACUUAGGUGUUGUCAGGAGGAAGCAGAGGGUAGAUAAGCCUUCUCUCUUGAUUGAAUACAGCGGAAAGGGGGUUGACAGACUGGUAGAUAGGACAGGCAUGUGUGUGUUUGUGGGUAUGUGUGUGACAGCGUAAAUAUAGACCAAUCACUUAGGUGUUGUCAGGAGGGAGCGGAGAGUAGAUAGGCCUUCUCUCUUGAUUGAAUGCAGCGGAAAGGCAGUAGACAGACGAAGAAGAUAGUCAGAAUAGAUAGUUAGAAGAUAGACAGAAUAGCAUAGUGAUGUAAAGAAUUAAGUGUUUGAGGCUACGUGCGUGAUGGCGUAAAUUAUCAAGUCUGGUCGUUUACAUUUUAAUAAUCUAAUACCAUUCUUCCAUUAAUCAAACACAUCAGGAACAAGUCUAGAAUCAGGUAUAUAGACAGAUAGACAGGUGUGUGUGUGGGCGCAUAUGUAUCAGAGCAACAAUCGCAUACUCUUCCCUGUAAGUCGAGAGGGGAGGGACAAAGCUACAGGUGACAGAUGGGCAGGUGUGUGCAGGUGUGUGUGGGCGCAUAUGUAUCAGAGCAACAAUAGCAUACUCUUCCCUGUAAGUCGAGAGGGGAGAGACAAAGCUACAGGUAACAGGAAGGGAGGUGUGUGCAGGUGUGAGGGGGCACAUAUGUAUCAGAAAGACCUCAUAUCACAAAGCAGUGCAGUGUCAUCGUGCCUCUACCCAACAACCCUGAGAAGCAACUGUUUAGUGAAGUGGGCACAGAAAAUAGAACAUCUUUUAAUCUAUAGGCCUAGCAUUCAUUUCUCUUAUAGUAUAGAUGUCCGACACAGCCCUCGGUGACGCGUGCAAGGCUACGUGGCGGCUAAUGUGACGUCUAUAGUGCGCGGAAAAUAAUAACGUUAAUAAGAAGAGUAAUGAUGGUAAUUUCUCUAGCGAUGAGCUGAUGUGGAGGUUAGGUGGAAUAAUGUGUGUGGAUGUAUAAAUGUGUGUGUGUGCGUGUGUGUGUGUUUGGCUUAUGUAAGAGAGGUGCGUGUGUGUGUUUUUAUAUAUGUUUUCUUUUCUGUGUUUGUGUGUGUGUGUGUGUGUGUGUGUGUGUGUGUGUGUAUGUGUGUGUGUGUGUUUAAUUCAUCCAUGCAUUUUUUUUUUUUUUAAUUUCUUUUGCUCUCUUUCCCUCUCCCUCUCCCUCUCUCUCUCUCUCUCUCUCUCUCUCUCUCUCUCUCUCACACACACACACACA